rnacentral:misc_RNA from 1 species
GUGAAUCAUCGAAUCUUUGAACGCAAAUUGCACUUUCUGGUAAUGCGGAGAGUAUGUGUGUUUGAGGGUUAGCUUAGAUAAAAAACGGCGUGGUUGUUGCCUUUCGUGGUGACGCACCGGAUUUGGGUAGUCUUGGCUUCGGUUUAGUGAACUAAAAUUUUGCAUGAUUUUUUCGAACGUAUUUAAAUGCUUUUAUGUACGUUUGCGAUAGCGAAUUCUAGGUGCGGUUAUGCUCAUGACUCGUGAU